AUUGAACGCUGGCGGCAGGCUUAACACAUGCAAGUCGAGCGGAGUGAUGGUGCUUGCACUAUCACUUAGCGGCGGACGGGUGAGUAAUGCUUAGGAAUCUGCCUAUUAGUGGGGGACAACAUCUCGAAAGGGAUGCUAAUGCCGCAUACGUCCUACGGGAGAAAGCAGGGGAUCACUUGUGACCUUGCGCUAAUAGAUGAGCCUAAGUCGGAUUAGCUAGUUGGUGGGGUAAAGGCCUACCAAGGCGACGAUCUGUAGCGGGUCUGAGAGGAUGAUCCGCCACACUGGGACUGAGACACGGCCCAGACUCCUACGGGAGGCAGCAGUGGGGAAUAUUGGACAAUGGGGGGAACCCUGACCCAGCCAUGCCGCGUGUGUGAAGAAGGCCUUAUGGUUGUAAAGCACUUUAAGCGAGGAGGAGGCUCUUUUGGUUAAUACCCAAGAUGAGUGGACGUUACUCGCAGAAUAAGCACCGGCUAACUCUGUGCCAGCCGCCGCGGUAACAC
rnacentral:rRNA from 1 species